GUGCCAGCCGCCGCGGUAAUACAGAGGUCCCAAGCGUUGUUCGGAUUCAUUGGGCGUAAAGGGUGCGUAGGCGGCAGGGUAAGUUGGAUGUGAAAUCUUGGGGCUUAACCUCAAAAUUGCAUUCAAUACUGCCUUGCUCGAGUUCUGUAGAGGAGAUUGGAAUUUACGGUGUAGCAGUGAAAUGCGUAGAUAUCGUAAGGAACGCCAGUGGCGAAAGCGAAUCUCUGGGCAGCAACUGACGCUGAGGCACGAAGGCCAGGGGAGCAAACGGGAUUAGAAACCCUCGUAGUCC
rnacentral:rRNA from 1 species